CUUGAGGGCGGACCUAAGAGGCAGGCUUUACUAAGGAAGCCGAGAGGGAAAUACUGAAGGCUGGAUACACGACGGAAUGGGAAUGGACUGAAGUUUUACGUACUUCCACAAGAUUCCCUUCGUAAAUCAGCCGGCGGGACCCAUGCUGAAUGAGAAAGAGAAGGGACCAGAGAGGACAGUAACCCUCACUUUCCUUUUCCUACUCAUCUUUAAGGACGAUGCCAAGAGUAUGCCCCUGUAGCUUCAGGAAUGGCGCAGUCCAACCGCCUCAGUCUUUCACCGUUAGCAGCUGUACUCUGGGCCAAGGUUCUGCUUCCGAGGUCACCCCCAGCUUGGGUAGCCUUUGGCCUCCAGCGUCCAGCUGCCUAGACCUCAAACGGAGACUGGACAAGCCCGGUUAGGAGAGGCGAGUGAAACGACAAAAGCUUAGAGGACAUACUACCUUUUCCAAACCAAACCAAAUCAUUUGAGACUAAACAGACAUAAGCAGGCCCUGGAGACAGGCUUCUGGUGUUGGGUUUGUGAUAUUUGUUUGUUGAACAUUAUUGAAAGUUCUCCCCUUCCUCAGAACUGCCCCAGUGCCUUUCUAGACUUUUCUUAGUAUCUAAGGCCCAUUGUAGGGGAAGGAUCUUAAUAUCCUGAUGGAAGCUGGUUGAACUAGAACUUGGAUGCCAUCUUCACUGUACUUACAAGCUGAAUUUAGAUCAUUCAGUUUUCUUUCUUUCUUUCUUUACCCGCCCCCUCCCAACACCUUUUCCCUUUUUAGAAACAGUCUAUUUUUCCCAGGCUGCUGUUAUAGUCCUUGGUUUAAGCCACUGGCCUGUGGAGUAGCUAGGAAUCUAUCCACAUGUCCCCAUUCUAGACUAAACUUCAGCUUCUGUAUAAUAAUGACAAUAUUAUUAUAACAAUAUAGUAGCAACAAUAUAUGAUGUAAUAACAUUUUCCAUUGGUUGGGGGGUUGGAGAAUAUCAAGAAAGUACUAUAGUACUACAUGUCUGUUACUGGAACAUUAAUACAAGUGAUGAAUGCCCCAGCUUCAGUAUUUAAUUGAGAGGCAAAUAAAGAGCUGUAUCUCGA